rnacentral:rRNA from 1 species
UACAGAGACCUCAAGCGUUAUCCGGAUUUAUUGGGCGUAAAGCGCAGGUAGGCGGAUAUGUUAGUCGGAUGUCAAAGCCCCCGGCUCAACCGGGGACAGGCAUUCGAAACGGCAUAUCUCGAGGCAGUGAGAAAUCGGUGGAAGUCACGGUGUAGUAGUGAAAUGCGUUGAUAUCGUGAGGAACACCAAAGGCGAAGGCAACCGAUUAGCACUGAUCUGACGCUGAGCUGCGAAAGCGUGGGGAGCGAAUGGG